rnacentral:rRNA from 1 species
AUGGUUACGAUCAGGGGCCAACACAGGAAGGCCAUCUCCUCCUAGAUGAUGCUUGUUAUGUGCGAAGUUUGGAAAGAGCAGAAUGCCAGAGUCCUUCGCAACCUCAGUGCCCCAACGAUGGUGAUUAUCUCAAAGAUCAAGGAGGACGCCAUGUUUUGGGCCUUGGCAGGGCCUACACACUUGAGUACUGUAAUGCUGCGAGAGUACUUGUUUUGUUUCCCCGUUUGA